CCUACGGGUGGCAGCAGUGAGGAAUCUUGGUCAAUGGGCGAGAGCCUGAACCAGCCAAGUCGCGUGAGGGAGUACUGCCCUAUGGGUUGUAAACCUCUUUUGUCGGGGAGCAAAAGCCGGACGUGUCCGGCUGUGAGAGUACCCGAAGAAAAAGCAUCGGCUAACUCCGUGCCAGCAGCCGCGGUAAUACGGUGGAUGCGAGCGUUAUCCGGAUUUAUUGGGUUUAAAGGGUGCGCAGGCGGAUUUUUAAGUCAGCGGUAAAAUCGUGGGGAUCAACCCCAUCCAGCCGUUGAAACUGGGGAUCUAGAGUGUGCGAGAGGUAUGCGGAAUGCGUGGUGUAGCGGUGAAAUGCAUAGAUAUCACGCAGAACCCCGAUUGCGAAGGCAGCAUACCGGUGCACAACUGACGCUCAGGCACGAAAGCGUGGGUAUCGAACAGGAUUAGAUACCCUAGUAGUC
rnacentral:rRNA from 1 species